rnacentral:rRNA from 1 species
GACGAACGCUGGCGGCGUGCUUAACACAUGCAAGUCGAACGGAAAGGCCCUGCUUUUGUGGGGUGCUCGAGUGGCGAACGGGUGAGUAACACGUGAGUAACCUGCCCUUGACUUUCGGAUAACUUCAGGAAACUGGGGCUAAUACCGGAUAGGAGCUCCUGCUGCAUGGUGGGGGUUGGAAAGUUUCGGCGGUUGGGGAUGGACUCGCGGCUUAUCAGCUUGUUGGUGGGGUAGUGGCUUACCAAGGCUUUGACGGGUAGCCGGCCUGAGAGGGUGACCGGCCACAUUGGGACUGAGAUACGGCCCAGACUCCUACGGGAGGCAGCAGUGGGGAAUAUUGCACAAUGGGCGGAAGCCUGAUGCAGAAACGCCGCGUGCGGGAUGACGGCCUUCGGGUUGUAAACCGCUUUCGCCUGUGACGAAGCGUGAGUGACGGUAAUGGGUAAAGAAGCACCGGCUAACUACGUG